UACCAGCACCCCGAGUGGUCGGGACGUUUUAUUGGGCCUAAAGCAUCCGUAGCCGGUUCUACAAGUCUUCCGUUAAAUCCAACUGCUUAACAGGUGGGCUGCGGAAGAUACUAUAGAGCUAGGAGGCGGGAGAGGCAAGCGGUACUCGAUGGGUAGGGGUAAAAUCCUUGAUCCAUUGAAGACCACCAGUGGCGAAGGCGGCUUGCCAGAACGCGCUCGACGGUGAGGGAUGAAAGCUGGGGGGAGCAAACCGG
rnacentral:rRNA from 1 species